UUCUUCUAAAAUAAAUCCACCAGCUCUCAUCGUUCCCCGCCUCCCUCUCCCUCCUCUCCCAUCCUCGCCGCCGCCGGGGUCGCUCUCCUCCCUUGAGCAGCGUCGACGGUGCGGGAUGCAGCGGACUCGGCCUGCAUCGGCGUUGUCGGUGUCCCUCUCCGCUGUCGAGCAGCGGCGGCAGUGCGGGACGCAGCGGCUCGGCCGCAGCGAUGGAUUUCUCCGACGUGGCCGGCGGGGGCUCGCCUCGCUGCCCACGUCGUCCUCCUACUCCUCCUCAGUGGCACUCGUCAGUGCGUUGGAGCCAGCGGGCGCCGAGGGCAUGCGGACGGAGGUGGCGCAGAUCCAGGGCGGUAACAACGACGGGCGCCCCACAUCCCCUUCACGUGCCGCUGCCCAAUCCUCCUCUGCCUCCAUGGCCUGCAGCAAGGGAUCCCAAUCAUAUCCGUGGGUCAUCGCAUGGUCCACCGUCGCCGUUCCCUUAGCACGCCGCCUGCACUUCCUCUUGGUGCCGCAGUACCGGCAGCGAAGCUGAAGGCCCCAGUGCGGGAGGAAGCAGGCGGGUGCUCGGCGACAUCGGCAACAUCGUCCCUGUCCACGUCCUCGAGGGCAAUAUCCAGCUACCGGCGGGGAUCACUCCAAUCACCAGGAGCUUCAGCGCUGAGCUCUAAAGAAGGCCUAGGCCGAUCCAUCCAAGGUGCGGACGCUCUGCGGUAUACACCACCUACUCUCUUGUCUGUUGGAAUUCGUGGCCUGUCACUCCUGUCCUCACAGUGUAGGCAAGUGAUCAAUUAUCCUGAAAUCUUUCCUCAAAAAAAAAAUUAUCCUGAAAUCUUUGCCCUAUUGUACACCCCGUUCAAGCAGUCACAGAAGCCUCUUUAUAAAUUACAUUAAUCCCUAACGUUUGAUCAAGAAAAAUUGGUACUGUUGGUGUCCAUCUACCAGCACUGCUCAUGACCAUAUCAUGCAAAUACAGGAGCGAGGGGAACCAACAGGGGUGGUGUCCUGUGUCUGUGUGCAUCUCCUACAGCAUUCUGAAUCCCUGCAGUACACCAGCUUUGCGCUCUACCUAUAAGCUACAUGUGCUUUCAAAUUCGAUCUCCUGUGUGGCUUAAGACUUUGAAAUAAAUUUUGAUUAGAUAAAUCUUCAGUAGUUUUAGUUAUGCUCUCUAUACAAUUAGUAAUUGUUUAGGUGAUAACUCCGAACAAUGUUAGUGCUAGAGACUUAUACAUUAUUUUCAACUAGCAGUUUCAGUUCUCCCUUCGCCAAUUGAUACAAAUAAUCUAUGAAUUAUCAACUAUUAGGCUAACUAUGCACAUAUUAGAUUCUUUGUUUCAGCUGUCUCCUGCUGCACUGAUAUAUAUUUACGUUUCAGAUUAUGUAGUCUUCUGCAGGUUAUCAGAUAAACUCUUCCAGAGAUUGAGAUCUAAUCACAACUGCUUUGAGUCCUUUACCUUUUAUUUUGCAAAAUGCAAUCUGAAGUAGUUGUCAUCUCUAAUGUUAAUGAAUAGAUUCUCAGAAAAGGAAAUUAAUUGGAAUGAUCUACUCAGCAUGUCCCAUGACUUCAAAAGGAAGAAUUUGACUAAAUUGAGAUGUUGAUCUGCAGUGUAAAGAUAGACAAAAUCAAAGACUGGCCUAUUGUCCCGUAACUCCCUUAGUCAACACCCGAGAGCAUAAGUGGGAGCAAAAUCAAUGGUAGCACCAAGUAUUGAGCAAAAGCACUUCGCGUUUUCAUGGUACGGUCUGAGCUUAAAAAUUGAAUUGAACAGUGACGGUUAGUGUUAUGCUUAUAAGUUGGUAGCCCCCAGCACUGUCUGUUGUAGAUGGUGCGUAUUAUUACCUCCUUCAAAUUAAAAUGCCAUUCUAAUAAAAAUACAACAUGUUCUGGUCAACUCAGGUGCGUUCCACUGGGUGAUUUUCUUUCUUAAUAAAUUUUUGGUGGUGCUAAAUAGCUAUAGGCUUAGAAUCAAGGCUGUACUUGUUAUUGCCAAUGAGUUAUUGCUUUGUACUUUUACAUGCCGACGGUUGGAAUGUGAUAAUAAUUUCUGCAUGCCUACACAUAGUUUAUUCAUCCCACUGGAAAAAGAACCAAGAAUGUUGUGUGCAGAGAUGUCUUGGAGGGACAACACAUGUUUGUUUUCCGUACAUGCCAAUCCACAUUAUUAUAUUAGGACAUGUUACUCAUCUCUAAUAUUGAAUUUUUUUCUAAUUUAUGUGCAUAUUAUGCAUACAAUGAUGAGCUGUUCUGUUAGGAUAAUUUGAAUUAGGGAGCCUUACUAAAUAAUGUAUAAAGAUGGUACUGAAGGAGGCUAUGCAACUAGCAAGGUACUCUGUUUAUAAUCUGACUGAUAUUUCUUAGAAGAUGUAUGGCUGUUGUGUUCUCUCAGACAAUAUAAAGCAUGGUUCUAUAUGCUCUGCUAAAUUUGCAACUUUCAAUGCUUGUGGCGCCUUUCCCAUCAACUCUAGGGAUUUUACCUAAAGGUUCUUCUCUGAUUUUUUUUUUGUGUGUGACUCUAGCUAUUUUACUUACUGGACGUCUAUAUCAUGCAUGUUUAGGGCCUUGUCUCUAUAUUUUUCAUGUGAAUCGCAGAGUAAUAUGUGAAUAACAUUUGCACUGGUGUAAGCUUGCACGUUUGCUACAGCAGGGCAGAGUUAGUGUAGCAUCAUUAGUUUCUUUUUUGAUAUACUAACAAGUUACCCUAUGCGAAUUCUCAACUGUUUGGAGCCCUGUUUGCGCGCAAGAUUACGAGGAGCGCCCUGUGCAAUUCCUCGACUGUUUGACACAGCGAGCGUCAAACGGGAGGGCUCCCAGGGGAGAGACACGGCGGCCAGGGGCAUCUCCUUUGUUUAUCCGCCGCUUCCCUUCAUCACCAGUGAAUAGCAAUCACGGCACCGCGUCAUUCACUUGCCUACCAUAGAUUGACCGCUGAUGCGGGCGCUCCGCUCCACUACUCCAUCUCAUGCUGUAUAUUUCCUCUCUUUAUAUCCAGAUAAAGUAUAGCAUGUAAAUAUGUCUAAAUUCAGAAAUAACGGUUUCCCUUCUAUCUUCACUUAUACUGUUUUGGUUAGUAAAAAUGUAACUAAAUUCAGCGGAUGGUGUUAUUUGAAGCCAGAUUAUAGGAUUAUUCCCCUGGUGUUAUUAAUGUAUUUGGAUUAAAGUUAUGAACAUGAUUCCUUUAUAUUAUUCCUCUAGAAUUAGGUAUG